GAGUUUGAUCGUGGCUCAGAACGAACGUUGGCGGCGUGGAUUAGGCAUGCAAGUCGGGCGAGGACUGUUUGUAGCAAUACGAGCAGAGCCGAGCGGCGUAAGGGGCAGUAAUACCUGGGGGACGUACCCUCCAGUCGGGGAUAGCUGCGGGAAACUGUAGGUAAUACCCGAUGAUCCAGAGAUGGCAAAGGCUUGCCGCUGGGGGAGCGGCCCAGGCGCUAUUAGCUAGUUGGCGGGGUAACGGCCCACCAAGGCGAAGAUGGCUAGCGGGUGUGAGAGCACGACCCGCGCCACUGGCACUGAGACACUGGCCAGACACCUACGGGUGGCUGCAGUCGAGGAUCUUCGGCAAUGGGCGCAAGCCUGACCGAGCGACGCCGCGUGCGGGAUGAAGGCCCUCGGGUUGUAAACCGCUUUGGUCCGGGAGUAAGGAGGGGCAACCCUCUUGAACGACCGGAGAAAC
rnacentral:rRNA from 1 species